GGGGCUUGUUAUAAGGGCGUCUACUUGUAGAGCCUGACCUCCACUUCUAACACUGUGCACUUGAUGGCGAGGUAAUGGAACUUUCGAGUGAAACUACCUUGCGGCUUCAUUUUAAACAUUAGUCAAAGUAUGUCAUGAAAUAAAAAACAAAAAAAAACUUUCAACAACGGAUCUCUUGGCUCUCGCAUCGAUGAAGAACGCAGCGAAAUGUGAUAAGUAAUGUGAAUUGCAGAAUUCAGUGAAUCAUCGAAUCUUUGAACGCACCUUGCGCUCCCUGGUAUUCCGGGGAGCAUGCCUGUUUGAGUGUCAUGAACUCUUCAACCCACCAGUUUCUAGUAGACUGCGUUGGUGUUUGGAUUUUGAGCGUUGCUAGUCUGACUAGCUCGUUCGUAAUAUAUUAGCAUCUCUAAUUCGAAUUCGGAUUGACUCAGUGUAAUAGACUAUUCGCUGAGGACACUUUUAUUAGUGGCCGUACUAGAACCAGUAGAAGCUUCCAACUAUUGUAGUCAACUUUAAUUUAGACCUCAGAUCAGGCAGGAUUACCCGCUGAACUUAAGCAUAUCAAAG
rnacentral:rRNA from 1 species